rnacentral:rRNA from 1 species
UACGUAGGGUGCGAGCGUUAAUCGGAAUUACUGGGCGUAAAGCGUGCGCAGGCGGUCUGUUAAGACAGAUGUGAAAUCCCCGGGCUUAACCUGGGAACUGCAUUUGUGACUGGCAGGCUAGAGUAUGGCAGAGGGGGGGUAGAAUUCCACGUGUAGCAGUGAAAUGCGUAGAGAUGUGGAGGAAUACCGAUGGCGAAGGCAGCCCCCUGGGCCCAAUACUGACGCUCAUGCACGAAAGCGUGGGGAGCAA